CCCUUAGAUGUUCUGGGCCGCACGCGCGCUACACUGAUGAAUUCAACGAGCUCCCAACCUAGGCCGAAGGGUCCGGGUAAUCUUUGAAAUUUCAUCGUGAUGGGGAUAGAUUAUUGCAAUUAUUAAUCUUCAACGAGGAAUUCCUAGUAAGCGCGAGUCAUCAGCUCGCGUUGAUUACGUCCCUGCCCUUUGUACACACCGCCCGUCGCUCCUACCGAUUGAAUGGUCCGGUGAAAUGUUCGGACCGCGACAAGGCGGACGGUUCGCUGUCAGCUUUGCUGCGGGAAGUUCAUUAAACCUUAUCAUUUAGAGGAAGGAGAAGUCGUAACA
rnacentral:rRNA from 1 species